AUAUGCAUACAACAUAGCAUUAAUGCAAUCGAUCCCAUUAGAAAUCCACAGAUAAGCGUGCUUGGGAUAGAGUAGUACUGAGAUGGGUGACCUCCCAUGAAGUCUUAGUGUUUUACAUGCC
rnacentral:rRNA from 1 species